GAUGAACGCUGGCGGCGUGCUUAACACAUGCAAGUCGAACGGAAAGGCCAGUGCUUGCCCUGGUGCUCGAGUGGCGAACGGGUGAGUAACACGUGGGUGAUCUGCCCUGCACUUUGGGAUAAGCCUGGGAAACUGGGUCUAAUACCAGAUAGGACCAUGCUUUGGAUGGUGUGGUGGAAAGUUUUUUCGGUGUGGGAUGAGCUUGCGGCCUAUCAGCUUGUUGGUGGGGUAAUGGCCUACCAAGGCGUCGACGGGUAGCCGGGCGUGGAGGGUGUACGGGCCAAGUGGGACUGGGAUACGGGCCAGACUCCCACGGGGGGCAGCAGGGGGGAAUAUUGCACAAUGGGCGCAAGCCUGAUGCAACGACGCCGCGUGGGGGAGGACGGCCUUCGGGUUGGAAACUCCUUUCGCAACUGACGAAGCUUUUUGUGACGGUAGGUUGAGAAGAAGCACCGGCUAACUACGUG
rnacentral:rRNA from 1 species